rnacentral:rRNA from 1 species
CCUAAAAUCUAGCUCACCCACCACAUGAUAAAUUAACCCUCUAACCCACGACCCAACAAAUAAAACAUUUUUAUAUUAUAGUAUAGGAGAUGGAAAAAUUUCUAAACGCUUCAGAUAAAGUACCGCAAGGGAAUGAUGAAAUAAUAAUGAAAUAAAUUUAAAGCCUAAGACAGCAGAGACACUCCCUCGUACCUUUUGUAUCAUGGUCUAGCUAGUCUAACCAAGCAAAAAGAAACUUUUAGUUUGACAUCCCGAAACUAAGCGAGCUACUUCAAGACAGCCCAUAGGGCCAACCCGUCUCUGUUGCAAAAGAGUGGGAAGAUCUUCAAGUAGAAGUGACAUGCCUACCGAGCUUAGAGAUAGCUGGUUGCUCAGAAAAAGAGUUUUAGCUCUACCUUAAGUUUCAUCUGUUAUACAAAACAAACUACUAAACUUAAGAGCUAUUCAAAUAAGGCACAGCUUAUUUGAACUAGGAUUCAGCCUCAAAUACUGGGUAAAUAAGGGAUUUCUAAACAAAGUAGGCCUAGAAGCAGCCACCUUUUAAAUAGCGUUAAAGCUUAAUUAUUUUAUUUCCCAAAAUUCCAUACCCCCCCCACAACCCUUCAUCACUACUGAGCCAUUUUAUAUACUUAUAAAAAUUAUUAUGCUAGAACUAGUAACAAGAAACUGCCCUUCUCCAAAAUGCAAAUGUACACCAAAACGGACAACACAUUGAUAAUUAACGUAAAUGAACUUAACAUAACAACCUUCACUAGAAAACCCUAUGUACCUCAACGUUAACCUUACACCAGAGCAUUACCGGAAAGAUUAAAAGAGAAAGAAGGAACUCGGCAAAUUUUAGCCCCGCCUGUUUACCAAAAACAUCGCCUCUUGCCUCCCAUAAGAGGUCCAGCCUGCCCGGUGACAAAGUUUAACGGCCGCGGUACCCUGACCGUGCGAAGGUAGCAUAAUCACUUGUUCUUUAAAUAGGGACUUGUAUCAAUGGCAUCACGAGGGCUGUACUGUCUCCUUUCUCUAAUCAGUGAAACUGAUCCCCCCGUGAAGAAGCGGGGAUUUAGCUAUAAGACGAGAAGACCCCAUGGAGCUUUAAGCCUAAUAUUUAGCCAACGCCGACAUACCUUCUAAGUUAUAGAGGCCCUAAAUACCCGCUUUAGGUUGGGGGGACCGCGGAGUAUAACCAAACCUCCAUGACUAAUGGGCCUCGCCCUUAUCCACGAACUACGCCUCUAAGAAUCAACAAACUGAUGUUUGAUGACCCGAAACAUUCGAUCAACGAACCAAGUUACCCUGGGGAUAACAGCGCAAUCCACUUCAAGAGUCCAUAUCAACAAGUGGGUUUACGACCUCGAUGUUGGAUCAGGGUAUCCUAGUGGUGCAGUC